rnacentral:lncRNA from 1 species
UGAAAUACGUUCACUGCCGCCACCGCCACCGCCACUGCCACCGCCUCCCACAUCUUGCACACUUUCAAAAUAAAGGCUCCAAGAAGUGUCCAAUGGACCGUAAGAACCCUCUUUUGUGCAUUUUCAUCUGGGCUUCCUUACCAGAGGAGCAAGGACUUUGUUCAGCAAACAGACUCUAAAUAGUCUGGAAAAUAGCUUCUGCCAGGCAUGUGUUGAACUUGUGGAAAGAAACGCUGGGCUGCAAUCUGCCAGGGUUUCUUUGUGUUGCCCUGGCUGUCUUGGAACUCACAGAGAUCUGCCUGCUGGGAUUAAUUCCAAAUUCUGGGAUUAAAGAUGACACUUCAGUGGUGCAAUGAGAUCACAUGGUAUUUUCAGGAUCCCAAGAGUAAGGAUUCCUGGGAUCACAGACUGUCAUAUUG